rnacentral:lncRNA from 1 species
CACACAGUUUCUAGCACAGAGGAAGAAACAUGUGGCCAGAUGUGGGGGGAAAAGAUAAAGGCAAAGCAUUUCUUAGUUUUCAGAAGGGAAUUAGCUAUUUAGAGCUUUGCUUUGACUCAAAAUCUAUAUGGGAAUAUUUUUAUAUGUUUAUUUUCCUGAGAGAUCCUGGCAAUUCACACAAACAGAAAGCAAGAGGCAGUACUACAGCUAACCUGAGCAUCUGCUGGCCAACCACACAACAUCCGUCACUUGAGAAGACCACAAGGACUCAAAGCUUGCACAGCAAGUGCUGUGGAGGGUCUCCAGGUGCAGCUGAAGGGCCAAGGAACUGACCAAGCCGAGCUCCUGCAGUAACUGCCAGGGAAAUCAGGCACGUGUGCUAAUGCAUCUAGUGCCCAGACAAGCACUAGACAAAGCCCAUUACAUUACUGCUAUGGUUUGAGUAACAUUAGAUGUUUGUGCCAUUCACGUAAAAACCCUAUGAGUAGUGAAAUAGCUUGUACCUUAUAAGGUUUGCCACUUCAUUUCUUAACCUGCCAGAAACUUUUCUUGCCACAAUAAUGACAGCUCAAUGACUUAAUUCUGUUUGCUGAAAAUUUAUUUAUGAACACAAACAAAACUCUGCUUUUAGAUUAUGUCUUUUUCCAUUCCUUGUUGCUGCUAAAUUUAAGACUGACCACUUUUGCAUUAGGCAAACCCAUUUAUUCACAACUGAGAAGCAGAUAGAAAUCCAUGUAGUUACUUGCGGUCUAUUAUUCAGACAUGAGUGCAGACAAACCAGACAAGCUGUACUCCCUGGAAAAUGAAGGAUACAGAGUGGCAUAGGAAAUCUAUUUGUCUGUAAUUAGUAGCCAUUUUCCUUAAUGAAUGGCUCCUGUUUAAACUUGGCUCCACCUAUUAUGACUGGAGUAACUGGGAGCCUUGUUAUGCAAGGAAGAGUAGAUAUUACUUCUACACCAAAUAUUUUACUCUUACAGGAGGAUUUGCAUCUGAUAAGCAAUGCAUACAACUUGAUUUUUGGUCACACUUGACCUUAUUGCUUUUCCUGACUGAAAUACUAAAAGAUUUUGAACAUUUUGAACAAGAGUGAGGAACUGUUCUAGAUGGAGUUUGAGUUUAAUCACUUAAUAUAUCUUGAGAAAGUAGGAAUUCAUUGGCUAUAAUAUUUUCAGUAUUUUUUUUAAUCUGUUCUGCAAAGAGAUUCAUUGAGUUCUUCAGUGGAAAA